GAACAAGUGCAUGUGGUGGAUGCCUUGGCGAUCACAGGCGAUGAAGGACGCGGUAGCCUGCGAAAAGCUACGGGGAGCUGGCAAACAAGCUUUGAUCCGUAGAUGUCCGAAUGGGGAAACCCACUCCUUUUGGAGUAUCCAUGGCUGAAUACAUAGGCCAUGUGAAGCGAACGCGGUGAACUGAAACAUCUAAGUAACCGCAGGAAAAGAAAUCAACCGAGAUUCCCAAAGUAGUGGCGAGCGAAAUGGGAUGAGCC
rnacentral:rRNA from 1 species